rnacentral:tRNA from 1 species
AAGCAAAUAGCUUACAUUAAAGCACUGCACUGAAGAUGCAGCGACAGGCUCCGCCUUUUGCUUA